AGUGAACGCUGGCGGUAGGCCUAACACAUGCAAGUCGAACGGCAGCACAGUAAGAGCUUGCUCUUACGGGUGGCGAGUGGCGGACGGGUGAGGAAUACAUCGGAAUCUACUUUUUCGUGGGGGAUAACGUAGGGAAACUUACGCUAAUACCGCAUACGACCUACGGGUGAAAGCAGGGGAUCUUCGGACCUUGCGCGAUUGAAUGAGCCGAUGUCGGAUUAGCUAGUUGGCGGGGUAAAGGCCCACCAAGGCGACGAUCCGUAGCUGGUCUGAGAGGAUGACCAGCAAAACUGGAAUGAGGAAACGGGCCAAAUCCCUAGGGGGGGAAGAAGGGGGAAAAAUGGGACAAGGGCGCAAGCCUGAUCCAGCCAUACCGCGUGGGUGAAGAAGGCCUUCGGGUUGUAAAGCCCUUUUGUUGGGAAAGAAAAGCAGCAGGUUAAUACCCCGCUGUUCUGACGGUACCCAAAGAAUAAGCACCGGCUAACUUCGUG
rnacentral:rRNA from 1 species